AAAGGGAAUUUUGCUUAUUUGCACCACAUGUGUUUUUUAUUGAACAAAUUUCUUUGGUGGCGGGAGCAAUCCUACCGCCAGAGGUUAUAACUAAACCAAACUUUUUAUUUACAGUCAAACUUGAUUUAUUAUUACAAUAGUCAAAACUUUCAACAACGGAUCUCUUGGUUCUCGCAUCGAUGAAGAACGCAGCGAAAUGCGAUACGUAAUAUGAAUUGCAGAUAUUCGUGAAUCAUCGAAUCUUUGAACGCACAUUGCGCCCUUUGGUAUUCCAAAGGGCAUGCCUGUUUGAGCGUCAUUUCUCCCUCAAACCCCCGGGUUUGGUGUUGAGCAAUACGCUAGGUUUGUUUGAAAGAAUUUAACGUGGAAACUUAUUUUAAGCGACUUAGGUUUAUCCAAAAACGCUUAUUUUGCUAGUGGCCACCACAAUUUAUUUCAUAACUUUGACCUCAAAUCAGGUAGGACUACCCGCUGAACUUAAGCAUAUCAAUAAGCGGAGGAA
rnacentral:rRNA from 1 species